UUUGGUGGUCAAAGCACGAGCAAAACACCCGGCUCCAUUCCGAACCCGGCCGUUAAGUGCCGUUGCGCCGAUGGUACUGCAUCUUCAGGUGUGGGAGAGUAGGUCACCGCCAAUC
rnacentral:rRNA from 4 species